AUGGUGCGGAGAGCAAGAGCAAUAAGCAUGUCACCAUCAAAUGAUAUCCCUCCUAAACCACCACUGUAUGGUCCUCGUCUUACCUUUGGUGCCCCACUGACUGUUCCAACAGGCAAUGCUGCUCGUAGUGCAUCCCAGCUUUCGAGAUGA
rnacentral:rRNA from 1 species